UGUACAAAUGAAAAUUUCAGGUUGUCACAUACUCGGUGAGUCUGUUCUUGGACUCGGCGAGUCUUGUCGAAGAGUCCCGAUAUUCCCUAGUUGAGUCGAGAAUCGUCGAGUCAAGGGAUGACUCGGUGAGUUGUGUGCGAGUGGACUCAGAGUUGUUGGACUCGGCGAGUCUCGGAGUGACUCGGCGAGUUAGGUCGCGGAUUGAGUGAAGUUCUGAUUAUAGGAACUCGGCGAGUCAUNUGUCGAAGAGUCCCGAUAUUCCCUGGUUGAGUCGAGAAUCGGUGAGUCAAGGGAUGACUCGGUGAGUUGUGUGCGAGUGGACUCAGAGUUGUUGGACUCGGCGAGUCUCGGAGUGACUCGGCGAGUUAGGUCGCGGAUUGAGUGAAGUUCUGAUUAUAGGAACUCGGCGAGUCAUAGGGUUGACUCGGCGAGUAGGGUCAGUCAGGGGUU
rnacentral:lncRNA from 1 species